rnacentral:lncRNA from 1 species
AUGGCCCGGAGCGGGGAUUGGAAAUGGAUUCGAUUUGAUUUUAAACCCGCAGGAAAGGCUGGAGCAGCUCCAGAGAGGGGAGACACGGGCACAAGGAGUAGGAGAAGGAAUUCUGAUCUUCCCGAAGGAUCCCCCUGGAUAAAUAAUCUCUGUUUCCAAACGCCUCCACCAGAGCCAAGCUCCUGCCUCUCAUCUCUUAUCUCUGUUUUAGCGCUGCCUGUGGAUUCCUGUCCCUUCUCCAGGCUCCAGAAAGCUCCAGCUGCCAGCAGGAAAAUCCAUCCAAAGGAAGGAAGAGUUGGGGAUGGGGCUCGGGGAGAGCAAUUUCGGCUUCACAGCUUUUUAUCCCCCUCUGACCCUUCCUUGAGGAUGUUUCUCCCUGGCUCGCUGGAACCAGGAAAAAUUGGGGACACCCGAGGCACAUCAGGAAUGGCUGAAGAGGAAAUUUCUGGAAUGUCAGGACACAGCCCCUUGGAAUGGUUUAUUCCCAUGUCCAAACAGAGAACGGGAUCAGAGUCCCAGCGAGGAGGAAAGGAUGGAUCUCUGCUUUAACACAUCCCGGGAUUUCAUUGAUCUCUCCCAGAGGGAAUCUGCAGCCUGAGCUACUGCAAAUAAACCCAUUUUUAACUCUGCUGCA